CUUUCUCCAGGGUCUCCCCUUUGUUCUGCAUCUAGCAACUGUUUAUUGAGCUACUACUGUGUGCCUCGUACAGUUGUAGGCACAGAGCAAGGCAGGAGGUGAUAGCCCCCACCCCCAUCUGCUAGGACUUGAGUUCUUGUGGGAGGAGACACGCACAUGUAACACAGUGAGGCAUCCAGGUAAAGUGGAUGCGGCACUUGGAGAAACUGGGCUGAGAAAGGUGACAGAAUGAGGGAAGACCUUUGGAACGCAAAUUUCAAGAGUUGAGGAAACUGUAAGGCCGAAGGGCCUGAGGCUGGAAGCGGUUUGUUUUAUUACAAGAACCAGGAACCCGGCCAUCAAGUGUAGACUGAGCUGGGUUUUAUUCUCAGGGCAGGGAAAGUGGUUGGGCCGUUCUGUGGAGGUAAAUGGAGAGUCUCAGCUCUGGGGGGGAAGAGUGGGCUGAUGGGCACAGAGAGGCUGCUGCAGGUGGGCAACUGGGCAGAAGGAGGGUGAGUGGCAGGAUGUGACAGUGGUGCAGACAUUAGGGUAAAGGAGAGGACAUAUCCAGAAUGGCCACUGGGUGGACAGUGAGGUCAUUACUAAGCUGGGACAGGCUGGGGCUUGUGGGCUGGAGCCGGGUGUGACUGGAUUCAUACGGCAAGAGCUUGAGUGCAUCAACAGGAGGGAUCUAGUGCACUGCGGUGAGCUGGCAAAGGCAGGCAGGUACGGGGAGGACAGGACAGUGCAACUACCCGCUGUAGGCACAGUGAGCUGCUGCCUACCCUGGGCUGGACCAGGGUCUCUAGCUGAACCUGGAGAUGUAGGCUUAUUUCAAGUGAGCCUCAGAGGCAAAUCCUUCACCUGAGAUGCCUCACACCCUGCUCUGGCAGGUGUGGGGUGGGGGAUCCUGGAGGGGUCAUCAUUUGGCUCUUUUUGAGUCCUUGGGACUCUCCUCAGAGGCCACCCCAACCUGGGUCUCCCUUUUGGACUUAGGAGCUCUCUCUUCCCCCAGUCCUCGGCAGGUGAGCUUGGGACUCCUGCUCUCCCCAGGACACAGCUUCAAGCCUCGGCUGCUGCUGCUGCUGCUGCUGCUGCUGCUGCUGCUGCUGCUGCUGCUGCUGCUGCUGCUGCUUUGGUCCUGGGAUGGGGGUUGGGCCUAGCCUCUUUCCCAGUCUGAUAGGUCCUGAUAAUGUGCAUGUGUCAGCAGGGCUCACAUUUCUUUUUUUUUUUUUUUUUUUGGUUCUUUUUUUUGGAGCUGGGGACCGAACCCAGGGCCUUGCGCUUCCUAGGUAAGCGCUCUACCACUGAGCUAAAUCCCCAGCCCCAGGGCUCACAUUUCUACAACAGGAGGGCAACUGAGGCAGCAAUAAAGUGUGGGGAAGACUCGGGAGGGCGGCUUGACUGCCUUCUGUGUGCCGGGGAUGAGGGAUGCUCUGGGUGAGUGGAACAUGUGUCCUGGUCGCACCUCCAAGCUGUGUAUCCUGAGCCUAGCUCUGCCCCUUCUCAGCAAUGCAGGGUGCUGCAACGGGGUCUCCUGCUCCCCGGAAGAGGGAUGGCAGGAACAAUGGGCAGGGACAUCUUUGACCGUUUCUUUGUCCCUGCCACAGUUCGGCUCAGGGAGAAUCAGACAGUCUGUGUCACAGGGAUUGUCCUUAGAUAAGAAAAGCCCAGGUACGUACGGAACACAGAAACCAUUGUUUGAACGGGAGGAAUUGAGCACAGAGAACUGGUAGUGCUGGUGAGGGCAGCAGCUGCAGGACAGUGGCAGCUGGGUGUGGACAAGCAUUCUCAGAAGUAAGCUCGACAUCAAAGCUGAGAAACUAUUACCCCCCCACCCCGCCUUCCCAUCCUAGCCCUCGGCCCCGGACACCAAAAUCUGGACGCAAGGGCAGAGGUGGACCUGACAUCUCGGCCUCAGCUCCACACGGUUCUUUGCUGCAGAGGCUGAACAGUGCAUUUUGUCUGUAUGCUUGGCCCCAAUGCCAGUCCCUUGCUUCAGUGCAUGGCCGUGUGGCGCAUGAGUGACAGUACGUUCAGGCGGUACUCUGGCCCCAUGUGAGUUUUGCUUUCAUGAGCUGACAGUGUCUCCUGCCCUGUGAAAUGUGAACAUAAACUUGGCUUUUAAAAAAAGUAAUUUUGUGUAAGUAUGUGUGCAUGUGGGUGGAGGUGCCCUAAGGAGGCCAGGAGAAGGCAUCAGAUCCUCUCAAACUAGAGUUGCAGGCAGUCAUGAGCUGCCAUGUGGGUGCCGGGAACCAAAGUGCUCCUUCCCAAGGGCAGCCAGAGCUCUUAACCACUGAGCCAUCUCUCACUGUAGUCGGUUUACAUAUUAAGAGCUGCUACCAUCAGAGGUGAACACAAGCUUGGAAAGGUUUAUCCGUUCCCCAAGAUUGCACGGAAAUGGUAAGGUAAAGACUGGGUCCCAGGAGUUCUGAGACCCAGCAUGUUCCAGUUAAUUCCUUCUGCAGUACGUGUCGCCGGGCGAAACGUCACUGAGUUGAAGAGGUGGUAAUGAACUUAGUAUGAUGAGCUAGCUCAUGGGGGACCACCGUUGGUGGCCUUCCCCCAAAGGCCCAUCUUGUCUGGAAGCAGAUGGGAGGACAGGUGUGGGGGAUCCAACUCCCUUUGGGAACUCCAUGUAUGUGGUGUGUGCAGGCACAAGACACACACACACAAUUAAAAUUCCUUUUUAAAGUAUCUGUAGAUACUGAGCGAGCUCCGGAGAGCAUUGUUUGAAGAGUUUAAGUCUUUCUUUCUUAAUAUUUUACAAGUUUUCUCUUAUUUGAAGCAGGGUCUCAAUAUGCGGCCCAGGCUGCCCUCAUUCCAUGCAGCCUGGGCUUCUCUUAGACUUCCUGCCUCAGCAUCUGUAGCGUGGGGAUUGCAGCAGGCUUGGGCGUCUAUCCCCAGACUGUCUGGUUUUGCUUAUUUUCAGGAUGUGGGCAGGACUUCAGAUAGGUCAUCUGCAGCCUCAGGCUAAUGGUUCUACUUUGUGAGGUGCUCCCAGGAAGUCCUCACAGGCCCACCCCUAGCAAACCCGUCUUGUCUGAUACACCUAGAUGUCUCUCUCAGCAAACCUCCCAAUGCACCCAGAGUCCUUCCCCAAGACAAUAAAAACUUGUAGGUGGGGUUGGUUUUCGAGUUUU
rnacentral:lncRNA from 1 species